CCUAACAGACAAACACAACCUACAUCCAAAAUGUGGCGGUACGAGAGACCAUCUUAAACCUGACUCUGAGCAGCCUUGCUCUUAAAUUUGACGUCUUUCAAGUAGAAGACUACCAGCUGUGGUUCCAAGACUAUUUGAUUCCUGUGAUAGCAAGCAUCCAACCUGACAGCCUGCGGGUGAUACCCAGUAACAUCAGCUGUGAAUCCUACAGAGCGAUAGUCACUGGCCUAAUGGAAAGCCUGAAGAUCCUGCCACUGCACAUUUCAAUGGACGUGAGAUCAAGCCUGGAAUCGCUGCAGGAGGCCUUCCCAGAUUGUGCAAGACUGGAUUCUUUCACGUGCAAAGACACACAUGUUGAUG